GAAAUGCGAUAAGUAGUGUGAAUUGCAGAAUUCAGUGAAUCAUCGAAUCUUUGAACGCACAUUGCGCCUUCUGGUAUUCCGGGAGGCAUGCCUGUUCGAACGUCAUCAAGCCUCUCGCCUGCAACUGUUGCUUGCAACGGUAGCUCUAGGCGGCUCCUGGCGGAUGCUCGCCCACAUCUGGGCGCGCACUGCUGAAAUGCACUGGCGGACCCCCCAUGGCUGCGAUUGUGAUAAGAACUUACUUACGAUUGCAAGUCUGGUGGGCGUCUGGCCGCGAGCAUCCCUUUGCCCUCCACGGGGCCGAAGGGGCUAACCACAUCUUUUGACUUCGGAUCAGGUAGGGAUACCCGCUGAACUUAA
rnacentral:misc_RNA from 1 species